AUUGAACGCUGGCGGAAUGCUUUACACAUGCAAGUCGAACGGCAGCACGGGGGCAGUCCUGGUGGCGAGUGGCGAACGGGUGAGUAAUACAUCGGAACGUGCCCGGUCGUGGGGGAUAACGUAGCGAAAGGUACGCUAAUACCGCAUACGAUCUGAGGAUGAAAGCGGGGGACCUUCGGGCCUCGCGCGAUCGGAGCGGCCGAUGUCAGAUUAGGUAGUUGGUGGGGUAAAGGCGUACCAAGCCGACGAUCUGUAGCUGGUCUGAGAGGACGACCAGCCACACUGGGACUGAGACACGGCCCAGACUCCUACGGGAGGCAGCAGUGGGGAAUUUUGGACAAUGGGCGCAAGCCUGAUCCAGCCAUUCCGCGUGCAGGACGAAGGCCUUCGGGUUGUAAACUGCUUUUGUACGGAACGAAAAGGCUCUGGCUAAUACCUGGGGCUCAUGACGGUACCGUAAGAAUAAGCACCGGCUAACUACGUG
rnacentral:rRNA from 1 species